AUUGAACGCUGGCGGCAUGCCUAACACAUGCAAGUCGAACGAGUGGCGGACGGGUGAGUAAUAUAUCGGAACGUCCCCAGUAGCGGGGGAUAACUCCUCGAAAGGGUGGCUAAUACCGCAUACUCUUGGAGCGGCCGAUAUCGGAUUCGCUAGUUGGUGGGGUAAAGGCUCACCAAGGCAACGAUCCGUAGCUGGUUUGAGAGGAUGACCAGCCACACUGGGACUGAGACACGGCCCAGACUCCUACGGGAGGCAGCAGUGGGGAAUAUUGCACAAUGGGGGCAAGCCUGAUCCAGCCAUGCCGCGUGUAUGAGAAGGCCUUCGGGUUGUAAAGUACUUUUGGCAGGGAAGCGGUAUCCGCAGAAGAAGCACCGGCUAACUACGUGCCAGCAGCCGCGGUAAUUC
rnacentral:rRNA from 1 species